UGGGGAAUUUUGGACAAUGGGGGAAACCCUGAUCCAGCCAUCCCGCGUGUGCGAUGAAGGCCUUCGGGUUGUAAAGCACUUUUGGCAGGAAAGAAACGUCAUGGGUUAAUACCCCGUGAAACUGACGGUACCUGCAGAAUAAGCACCGGCUAACUACGUGCCAGCAGCCGCGGUAAUACGUAGGGUGCAAGCGUUAAUCGGAAUUACUGGGCGUAAAGCGUGCGCAGGCGGUUCGGAAAGAAAGAUGUGAAAUCCCGGAGCUCAACUUUGGAACUGCAUUUUUAACUACAGGGCUAGAGUGUGUCAGAGGAAGGUGGAAUUCCGCGUGUAGCAGUGAAAUGCGUGGAUAUGCGGAGGAACACCGAUGGCGAAGGCAGCCUCCUGGGAUAACACUGACGCUCAUGCACGAAAGCGUGGGGAGCAAACAGG
rnacentral:rRNA from 1 species